UUUCCAUGGGAUAAUAAAGAAAGAAAUUGAAUUGACGUGGUUGAGCCAGGCGUUCACUGGUCCUCCAUUACUCACGGGCCGCCACCACGGUAACACAACCAGCCGGGCAAGACCACGAGUGGGUGUUUCACAAUGGAUUUGGAUUAUAUAAAUUGGGCGAUUUCCUACACAUCACUGCAAGAUCCAAACAUGGUUAGUGUUCCUUUGCUUCACAUUGACUUGGGAAUGUUCCAUCGGUGAAGUGAUGGGAUCUUGAUAUAUAAUAGCACUGGUCAUUUGAUUUUUCCAUUGCAUAAAUUUGGCUAUUUCCAAUACAUCACUGCAAGAUCAAAACAUGGCUAGUUUCUUGGCUUCACGUUGGCUUUGGAAUGUUCCAUUAGUAAAGUGAUUGGCUCUUUGAUAUGUAAUCCUGGUCUCAAAUGGUGCAUGAAUCUUUGACAUCUUUGCUCGUCUGUUUACCUGAACCUUGCUAGGUUAUGAUGUAACGGUUCUAUUGUUACGUAAAGUAUGGUGACAAAUAAAUAGGGAUAUGAUCCAAGAAUGCUCUAAUGUGAUGAAUUUCUAUCGUACUUGGUGGAACCUUAACAGACUGUUAUGGUGGGCAAAAUGAAGCAGAUCCUCUACAUUGGAAAAAGUUCUGGUGGGAAGUGUCUGAUGCUUGGCGAAUGCAGUUACUGUGAUGAUCAAUGACUGGCAAUGCUGUGAUAGUGUUGGUCAUCAAUAUUUGUCAUAGAAUCAUGCUCUUUAAAAGAAGCCAAGAAUUGAAGAUAAGUUACUGUACUUUCAAUAAAAAUUUAUGCUUUA